rnacentral:misc_RNA from 1 species
GCCUAAUCAGUAAUCAGCCAUUGAAAUAGUUGUUGAUACUGAAUUUGAUUGUUCGAUCUUCGUACAUUAAAUUGGAAUAAUAUUGAUAAAAUCAAGACAAACUGUAAACUUAUUCAACUAUAAUCACCAAGAUUCACUGUGAAUUAAUUCGCUUUCCACGCUAUAUCAACGACAAUGUUACCGUAAACACACAUGCGAAUAUGAUUCUGAGCAUUUCAGUGUAAUUUCAAAUAAUUGUAUAUUUACUUUGUUAGUUAUCGAAUACCUUUAUUCGUCUUAAUGUUGACUUUGUGCCACAAUUAUUUUCGAGUAACAUCCAGCAAUAAGAACAGUAAAGAUGUGCCGCAACGCUUCAAUAAGAGGAAGUUCGCAUUUGGCAUUUUCAUUCUGUUAUUGGUCGUUGUGCUGUGGGUGGUAUCCUCUGAGAUGACAAAAUACUUGUAUGUAGAGAAACAUAUAGAGAGACCAUUCCUUGUCACCUAUGUGAGAAGUUCCUUGCUGUUUAUUUACCUAUUAGUACUAUGUUUUACGCCUCCUACGAGGGAUCCAUGUCAGCCAGCUGAUUACACACAAUUACUUGAACAAACUGGAGAAACUGAUGAUGAGAGUUAUUUCAAUGAAUCAACAAAUAGUUUGGGAGACUCCACCUUCGUGCCAGUUCGGGCCGGGGAAACGACAGACAGUGAUGAUGCGGCACCAAGAGCUGUACGGUUUAAUAAAGUAGCCGAGGUGCGAGUAAUGUCAGCAGCCAUGGCUAGCGAGGCUUUGCUCGCUCGGCUCUCGUGGGCUGCGUCAGUUCGCGCCACUGAGCACGCACAACGGCGGGCAGCGGCCGCCGCGACUCGCCGACAUCUGAGGCUGGCAUUACUGUUCUGUGUACCUUGGUUCAUAUCGAAUUACCUAUACCGAUUAAGCUUGUUACACACGAGUACGGGCUCAGCCACAAUAUACACGUCGACGGCGGGAGCGCUGGCGCUCUCGGUCGGUGCUAUAUUCGCACAAGUGCCCAACGACCGGUUCACGCUGUCCAAGUGUGUCGCUGUCCUAUUGACUGCCGCCGGACUGGUGGUAUUAGGUAUAUCAGAGAGCCAUCAAACAAAUUGGAUAGCAGUAUUGGCCGCGCUAGGCUCUGCAUUAUGCUAUGCAGUACAUUUACUCUUGUUCAGGCAAGCUUUAAGAAAUGGGGAUGAUAUCAACUCAUCAUUGCUUGUUGGUCUAGUGGGAUGUGCAUGUGGCUGCCUCACGUGGGUGAUAGGCGGCCUACUAGCGGCGACGGGUGUCGAACGAGCGGAACUGCCGCCGCCGCGACAGUGGACCUGGCUGUUACUCGACGCCGCGCUGGGACCCCUGCUUAUUGACUCGCUCUGGUUGUGGGGCAAAUCCCUAACGUCUCCUCAAGCGGCGACGGGUAUCCUGGGCCUAGCGGUGCCGCUGUCGGUGUGCGUGGAGGCGUGGCGCGGCGGCGGCGCGUGGCAGGCGCUGGCGGCGGCGCUGGCGGGCGCGGGCUGGGCCGCCGCCGCCGCGCCGCUGCCGCAGCACUGCUUCACCUGCCUCACCGAGCGGCUGCGGGCUGCUGAGGGGUUCACGGUGAUACGAAACAUCCCGGAUUUAGACGAGCAGUCAGAAGCUCUGAUGUCGUCGGACGAGCCCACGUAGCGCCUUCACCGUCACUCCUGCCACGAGAGGAACCACUGCUAAGUCUGAGCCGAAUCCGUACCGGCUACACAAAUAAUGCCUGCUGACCUACCUACACCGCUGACACUACAUGACGACAAGGUUAAACGAACAGAAGUCUGUCUUUUAAGUAAGAAAAAAAUAUAGAACACGUUUUUUUUUUUUUUUCAUAAAAUUUAAUCAUGUUUAGAUAGGGGCCAGAGUUUUCGAUUAUGAUGUCACCCGAAAGUUGAACACGCUGUACGUAAGGUGGUAGUUUGCGGGAGUAAAUAAAAACAUCGUGUCGAAUAUUUUUGGCUUAUCUAAAAGACUUACUUUUUGUCGUCAUACCUACUGCAUUAUAGCGUGAUCGUCAUCGCUAUCGCUCGACUUCAUUCAUUCCGUAUAGUAUACGCAACUAUUUAUUUUUAAGCAUCACGUCUUAUGAACCCCUCGGCGCGAGCCGAUGAGAGCCUGUGAUCUAGAUCAAUUAUAUAUUUAGAUUCAGAGCUUUUAAUACCAUAAAUUUUAUCGUAGUGUGAUUGCGCCAGUUUGUAUUAUAAAUUAUUAUAUUUCUUACGGGGUUUGCCGUAUGCUCUGGCACUGCAUAUUUGGUAACGAGUAGCUAGUCGGGUGUUAACUUAUAUAAUAAAUGCACCCAGAAGUAUUUGUGUGGUCACACCUUGUUUCGCCUAGUCUAAUUUAUAAUAAUAACUAGUAAACUAUUAGGUGUGUUAACAGUUAACUUUGUAAAACUUCCUAAUUUCUAUCCUAAAUUUGAACAUAAUGUGUUAAGAGUUACAAAAAUAAUCAAUAUAAAGAAAUAUCUUAUUUGUAUAAUAUGAUCUAAAUGUUUUCAAAUCUAUACAAAACAUGUUGUAAAUUGUAUAUUAAAACUAACAGUAGCUUUGUGUGAUUAAAAUCUUGUAAUGUACAUCUGAAUAUUGUAAACUGUUUGAAGUAUACUCAACUAUUAACUAUUUUCAUAAGUCUCCUGUACCUAUUGAGUCCAUAUUACAAAGUAACUAAUAAGUGAAACGGAAUACGUUUUUAUUUAUUCACUAGCUGUGCCUUUGAUCUCUGUGUUUACUAGGGGUAGAAAAAAUUAAGGGCUGAAUACACUGAAAUAUUGGUUCCAAAACUUUUAUGUAUAUCGUACUUAAUUGAUAUUGGUCUUAGCUAUUAAUAUUUUAUAUAUUGUGCAUUUAUUGGACGAUCAAAUUAUGAAUUGGAAUUAAUAUAUUAAUUUGUUGUUGUUUUGUAGUGUUGACACCUUAUUAUCUUGUUGCUUUUACUUGAAUUAGAAAUUCUUUCGUCUUGUUUUCUUGUUGAUUUCUUUUCUUACUGUAGUUACAUUCAAUAGUGAAUUGAAAUCUUUUUGAAGUGGUUGAAAUAACGUCUUUUAAAUUGUUUGCAUGAUUCAAUAAUAAUUUUGACAUUUAUGAUAUGAUGAUUAUGAACUAUGUAAAUAGAUAAACACUAUGUAAUUAUAUAUUAUACUAUCUACCUGUUGUAUAUUGUGUUAUGAUUAUAAUUGACACAGUAUUAUGUAAGUGAAUUAUUUUGUGUUAUUAAAGUAGUAGCAAUAGAUUUUAUAUACAUAUUA